ACUAGUUGGAUGAAAAAAUAUUUUUAUUAUUUAGAUUAAAUUAUUCAUUUUGUGUAGAUGAAAUAAUAAAAUAUCUAAUCUAUUACUCUGAUCAGACCCUGCUUUUGACCUUCAGUCUCUCUGUCCUUACGUCCCCCUGCAUGUUGAGAUGCAUCUUGUCCUGUCACUCUCGGGGACUGGGUGUUAUAUUUUCAUGGGUCUGUUAUUUGUACUACACUAAAAUUAUACACUUUACAUGUUUUCCUCUGUCGAUUUAUUGCCCCAAUUACCCUGUAGGAAAGAUUUUGUGAAGCGUAGUGCUGGUCCGAGGUUACUUGAUAAAUUUUAUGACCAAGCAGAGAUUUGAUCUUCACUCUUCCUUUUCCAAGGGUGCAUCUACACUGUAGAAUUAAUGUAGUCUGGCACCUCUUUGGCCCCAUCUACACUGCCAUUAUAUUUACUUACUUACUUACUUACUUACUUAGGUGAUCCCUCGUAGCAAUUGUGUAGUGUCUUGGCAGUGGAUGUGUAGGUGACUGUGGAGACCUAUUCUUGACCCGCAUGUUCUUCCAUAGUGAGGACAUCAGUUUCCAGAUGGAAGGUGCUUGAUGCACCUUCCUCUUGAUAUGUUUCUCCCUGAAGCCCUCCAUUUGUGUCUCUUCAAAUUCUGCAGCACUGCUGGUCACAGCUGACCUCCAGUUAGUGUGCUUUAGGGCCAAGGCUUCACAGUUCUCAGUGUCUAUGCCACAGUUUUUAAGGUUGGCUUUAAGUCCUUCUUUAUGCAGAUUGAACUGUAUUAUAUGGCAAAGUAGACUCAAUCCAGUUCAAUAUGCAUUGUAUGAGUCUGCACUGAUCAUAUCAUGCAGUUCAAAUUGCAUUACAUGGCAGUGUAAAUGGGGCCUUAAAAUACCAUGGCUGAAUGCUAUGGAUAUGGAAUCAUUGGAGUUGUAGUUUUACAUGGUGUCUAGCCUUUAACUACAACUCCCAUGAUUAUAUAAUGUUGAGACAUGGCAAUUAAAGUGUGAAACUACCAUAAUUCUAUAGUGGAGAUACAUCUAAGGCUGGCAAUAGAUCCAGCAAUAGUCAGCAAUUUAAGCAUUACUCUGUGUAUACAGAUUAUCUCAGUUCAGAUGUAACUGUAAAAAUGCUGUGAAUAUUAGAACAUACAAAAAUUAAUGUCUUGAAUUUACAUAAUAAGAACACCAGUUCAAUUGAUAUGGCAACCUUAGAUUAACUUUGGUUAAAAAUGGAUUCCGUACACACUUCUGGGUCAAUACCUUUAGUUUUCAUCAGGAAUUUCCUGCACUGCUUUGAAUGUAUGGAGAUGUGUGAAGAAGCUGCCCCUUAUUUCUAGAACAUCCUUCUUGAAUUCUUGUGUCAUGUCAACUUUUUUGCUUCAAACCAUUCUUCAGUACAAACAUCAUUUCUUUACUUUAUCAAUCUGAUAGUACUAAGGCUUGCCCUAAAUGGAACUUUAAUACACGUAACUGUGCAGUCAUCCUAUGUUUAACCCCGCCCGACUGCUCCAAUUCCUUCCUUUGUCUAUUGAUUGCUUAACCUCCUUUCCUCUCCUCUUUUCUCCCUUUGGUUAACUGUGAUGUUAAAAUAGAGAUGCUAAGUUUCUUUGGGUAGGGACUUGACUUUUCUUCCCAGAGCUGUUAAAACUAGGGCUCAGCUGAAUAUUUUUUCCAACUUGUUCUUUUAAAAGGGGAAAAAAUCAGUGGGGGAAAGUCUAAACACUCUAAUAGUAGUAGAUGGAGUUGGAAGAAAUAUUGCUGGUAACAGACCUUGUUGUUGUUGAAUUCUUUUAAAAAUAUGUAAUUGUUCUUCAGUGAUCAGUAGAGCAAUGGCUGGUGUCCCAGCAAUGGAAUGCUGGAAUGGUGUUAUAAUAUGGGGAAUAACUGAGGAAAUGUAUCUUUAUUGAGGAGGGAGAAAUCAACUUCUCUUGUCCAUGGGCCAUUUUAGAUUUAUUAUUUAUUUAUUUAUUUAUUACAGUACUUCUAUCCCACCCUUCUCACCCAUAGGGGACUCAGGGCGGCUUACAAUAAUUCCACUUACAAGAUUCACCACUUAUGACAGAUCAGAACCAAUCUGGCAGAAAAAGGUUUUGCUGUGAGGAUGAUUAGAUUGCCAUUUUUGGAGCAGGUUCCAGAAAAUCAGUAAAACUAAGUCUUACUUUUUUAUAAAUCUAAAAAGCAAUUAAAUAAAACUGAAGGGAGUUUUUAAAAAUACACAUCAGGAAUGUGUCUCUCAUCCUAUUUCAGACAAAUUAGAGCUAGGGGAAAUCCAUGUGACUACAAGAGAGUGAGAAAGGAUAACACCUGAUGUAUAGUCCCAGGAAUGUUGCAAUUCCAAAGAAAUCUCCUCAAAGAAUUAACUUCCCUUCCCGCGUGCAACUGGGGGUUGGAAAGGAGGAACUACAGGAAAGGAGAUUCCACCUGAACAUUAGGAAGAACUUCCUCACAGUGAGGGCUGUUCGGCAGUGGAACUCUCUCCCCCGGACUGUGGUGGAGGCUCCUUCUUGGGAGGCUUUUAAACAGAGGCUGGAUGGCCAUCUGUCGGGGGUGCUUUGAAUGCUAUUUCCUGCUUCUUGGCAGGAGGUUGGACUGGAUGGCCCAUGAGGUCUCUUCCAACUCUACUAUUCUAAGUGUUUUGCCUCCUCCCUCAUGGAAGAAGCUGAAAGAAAGCAGCCCCAGAGGAGACUACUUUCUAGGGGUGAAGCUACAAGUUGAAUUCCACCCCUUCUCUCCAUUCUGCUACGGAGCAUUGAUCCACCCUCAUGCCAAUUAACAAUAUAAUUAAACUGGUUGCUUUUGGGGGCCAGGUAGGAAUUUCUUCCCUCCUAUGUUCUUGGGGUUGGUUUUAUUUGCCUACUCUAUACUGUUUUAGGAGGGCGAAUUGGAAAGGUACAGUUUUUAAAUAGCAAGGAAUUUGAUUUUGGUGUACACCCAAGGCACCAAUUAUUGUGUAUAGGCCAGGAAUGGAAACCCUUACCUAUGGUUUAAAUAGUCGAGGUUAGAGCAAAUGGAAAUGGCUUAGGAAUGGGAGAAUCUGGCCUCAAUAAAUCUUUGGGGCAGAAUUCUCUUUCACAUUUCCCUUAGCGAUAGCCCAGGGUUAUUGCAAACGGGGACACAAGUAUUUUGCCCAAAGUAGCCGAGGGGUAGGCCAAAAGGGCCACUACUCAGCUUUACUCAUACCAGGUUCAUGCCACACUUUAGAAUUAGCUACAAGUUACAAAGUUACAAAGUUUAAUUAGGUAACAAUAAUAAAGGUUAGCUAUCGUUCAACCCACAUCUGCUGUGUAACCUCUUUAUUUUGGAGGUGGGUGGCAAAGCCCUUCUGAAUGGUUAGGCCUUUCUCAUUUCACUGUUUUUUGCAAAUUGUGUUUAUUCUACUUUCUUUCCUUGGGAAACAAUAUGUAGUCACACAACACAGAUUUGGAGUUCACUUUUGCCGAGGCUGCUGUGUAUGGCAACCUCCUUUUCUCUCCUCCCCCUCCCCUUGAGUUAAUUGUACUUUUACGUCUUUAAUUCAGUUUGCAGCAACUGAAGUAAACUGAGAAUGAAGAGGAAAUGUGGGAGGAGAAAAAACUGGGACAUUUGAAAAGCAGUUGAGAAAAUUGGACAGCAGAAAAUUAACUAGGAUUGCCUACCAAUAGGGACAUCUGGUGGGCUUGGAGGAGAUUAGUAUGAGAUUAGAUGAGAUUAGUAUCAGAUUAGAUGGAGAAUCUAAGAUGCCUCUAGUUGGUCUGUGGCUCCAAUGUUUCUUUGGAACAGCUAGUAUACAUUAGGAUGGAGGCACAGACCUGGAGGUCACCUUUUAACUAGUACUUGGAAAAAAAUGUUGUUGUUGUGUUACAAAUCUCAGAAUCUCUCAGUCAGCAUGAUAAAAAAGAACAUUGGAGAAAGGGGGGUGCCUGUGAAUUCUCACUAUGUCAAAGAACAGAUGCACAGAGAGACACAUACAUAUGGUUAGUCACAUAGUGGAAUACAUUUUUGUUUUCCAAGCAAAUCCAAACAACAUGUACAUGCAAGUUAUUGUCCCAAAGUUUUGCCUAAAAGCUUCUAUUCUGCCGGCAUCAGUUCAUGAUAGAUUUGAAACUUACAGUGUUUGUUUGUCUUGAAAGUAGAUGAAAUUCAUCAUCACAGAUCUGUUGAACCUCUUGGUAAUUGCAAGUUUUCUCUCGUGUUUAUUUGUUAUCUCUUUCCAGCCUACUCAGUUUUUAAGAUCACUUAGUACCUCCAUGAUAACAUUGUUCUUCCUCCUCUCAACUUACUAUGAUUAUCUUAUUCUUAUUGUGAAUCUGGUUGUUAAAAUUAUUCUCCAUAUUUAUGGAAACUAGCAGAUGAUAAGGCUGACAUCAGACAACUGAUUGCUCUUUGCAGCCAGCUUUUUCAGCUAUUACUGAAAAGUUCCUAACUGUGAAUUUUUGAUGUGCCCCAGAGUUCUCUUUUUCCUAAGUAGAAUAUGUUCUCAAGUUAUCAUGAUGUGCUGUUAUGUGUUGUGUUGUAUUCAGCUGCCAAAUGUGUCAAUAAUUAAUUAUCUCAGGAAGAACAAAAGAAACCAGCUUUAAAACAACAUGCUGCAUAUUUUAAGGCCUUAUUUUCAUUGAAACUAACCAAGUUUUUAAUGCCUCUUGAGGUCCAUAUAACUGAUACUGGAGCUAGCAGUAUAAGACAUAUAAUCCUAAACAUUGCUCUUUUUCUGUUUCUCCUAACAAACUUUGAGGAAAACAUAGCAACAAAACCCGCAGCAAGUAAAAAUACCAUGCACACAACACCCUCAAUUACAUAGAUCUCUAAACAACUAUAAGCUUUUCAUUUCAUUUCCAUUUAUUGCUAUUUUGAUUAAAGGAAUUUCUUAAUGCUGGUAAUGAACCACUAGAAUAUGCAAAGCGUGUGUGUUUACUUAAUGUUAUAGUCCUAUCACCCCCCCACUCUGUUUCAUGCAGAUAGAUUUUAUCCUAAAGAAGCAAACUGAAUGCUUAAUAGAAUUCCAUUGCGAGUCCUCACUAAAGUAGACCAAUUGGAUCAAUUGCUGAAUGCUAAAGGCCCUUCUAUACAUGGCUAAAAACCUGGAUGUAACCAGGUUAAAAGGGGGGGGGGGUGUGUGUGACUAAACAAUGUUUAGCCAAAGUGCGGGCAAAAUCAAAUUAACAGCUGAAAAACGUGUGUUAAAAAGGUGUGCUUAAAACCCAAUUCUGCUUAAAAAAUGCACACCUUCACAUAACUAUGUAUCCCAGAAGUCAUGCAAAACACUAGCUUUCCUUCCCUCCCCCCCCCCUAUGUGAAAUGCUCCAGUGCACAUGCACAUGUUAAAAGCCCGAAACAGCUAGUCAGCUGAUGGGGCUGUCAAAACAUGGAGCCAUUGGCACACAGGUGGCUCAAGGGAAGCACAAGUGGAAAACAAUUAGAACUCUCUGAAGCUCUUUAUGUGGAGCAGCUGGUUAGUAGCCUGCUGCAAUAAAUCACUACUGAUCGAGAGGUCAUGGGUUCAAAGCCCAAGUCGGAUUGAGUUCCUGACUGUUAAAUAGCCCCAGCUCGUUGUUUACCUAAGCAACCCGAAAGAAGUCGCAUCUGUCAAGUAGGAAAAUUUAGGGACCACUUAUGCGGGGAGGCUAAUUUAACUUAUUUACAACACCAUAAAAACGUCCAGUAGUGUAUGCGUGCCAGUUGAGGAAGUACUCCAUUAAAAGGACUUAGUUGUCACAGUGGAUAAUGAAGCAGAAGCUCCUCCUGUGGCCGGAAUUGAGCAUACCCUCACAAAGCCAGAAACAGGAAAUUUAAAUAGCCUCUAUGUCUGUCCGUGUGUUGUUUGUCUAAUGGCAUUGAAUGUUUGCCAUAUACAGUAGAGUCUCACUUAUCCAAGCCUCGGUUAUCCAAGGUUCUGGAUUAUCCAAUGCAUUUUUGUAGUCAAUGUUUACAAUAUAUCGUGAUAUUUUGGUGCUAAAUUUGUAAAUACAAUUAUUACAACAUAACAUUACUGCGUAUUGAACUGCUUUUUCUGUCAAAUUUGUUGUAUAACAUGAUGUUUGGGUGCUUAAUUUGUAAAUCAUAACCUAAUUUGAUGUUUAAUAGGCUUUUCCUUAAUCCCUCCUUAUUAUCCAAGAUAUUCACUUAUCCAAGCUUCUGCCGGCCUGUUUCGCUUGGAUAAGUGACACUCUUCUGUAUAUGUACAUUGUGAUCUGCCCUGAGUCCCCUUCAGGGUGAGAAGGGUGGAAUAUAAAUACUGUAAAUAAAUAAAUAAAUAAUACACUUUAUAAUAUUAAACAAGAGUUUGAAUUAAUAAAUGGGUGGAGAGAGAGAGAGAAGAAAUCUGCUUGUGUUUACAUUAAGAUAUUCACGUGUGCACAUAUGAGGUCCAGUGCAUAAUGGAGUGUAUUUAAAAAGCAAACUUCCACUGGAUGUUCCCCAUCUGCCCUCCAUCUUGAUCCGCUUCAAAGGGAGAUGUGAGGAUGGCAGAGGACCAUUUCCUGGGACUGAUAGGUCUCUCUGUGGACCUGCUGUCAGGUCCCAGGAUUUUUUGCCUUAGUUUUAAAAUGCAUAUUUUGGCGCUGUCUGGAAGUGCCCCAGUCAACACUUUGGAAUGAUGAAUAAAAUGUGUUGAUUCCACAGGUCAUGACGUCUAGGACUGAGGCUGGAUCUACACUGGUUGAUAUCCAGGAUCUAAUCUCAGAUUAUCUGCUUUGAACUGGUUUAUAGGAGUCUCCACUGCCAGAUAAUCAGGGAUAAACAGAUAAUCUGGGAUCAGAUCCUGGGAUAUAGGGCAGUGUAGAUCCUGUCUAAGAUGGGUUUCUUACUUAAUUGAUGUCAGUGUUCUCCAUAGAGUAAGUCAGAUCUGGGUCCAGUUCUGGGUGCCAGAGUUCAGGAUUGAGAAACCAGAUGAUGUCUGAUGGAGAAAGGGACAAAAACAGUAAAAGGUCUUAUGACCUUCUACACAGGCCCUAAAUCUCAUAAUGAGUAACGAGUUUACUUGAGGUGUACAGAUAGAUUACUCUGGAUUAAUUUGACACCUCAACCUUACUGAAAUGUCCAAUCUGUUGAGGUGCUGGGACUUUGGCGAUUGACUCCUCACAGUGAUCCCAGUUCUUUGGGUUCCUGGAGUCUGAAGGAGGAGGAUGGCACCCUUCUUCUCCUCCCAGUCCCCCAUUUUGCCCCUAAAUUUACCUGAGGGGCCUGGUUCAGGCACCUACGCUCAGAGCUCCUGGCACAUGAAAAUCUCGCGUUGGGAUGGUGGGGGGGGGGAGAGAGGGAAUUUUCUUUAAGACAAUAAUCCACAUUUUCCCUAUUUAUCUAAUUUUACGUUGUGUCCAACAUUUUGUCCCCAUUUAACCAUGCAUUUCUUUAUUGGUUCUGGUUCCAUUUUCAUCUUCAGUAAUACUUUAUAUAUUUUUUCCAAUAAGGUGUUCUUCAACAGUACAUAAUUCCUUUUCAAAUUCUGAUUAUUCUCUUUCAAAUCCAGUAUUUUUACUGUCUAGUGUAAAUCUUUCUUUCAGUUGCCUAUAUCUGUGCCACGGUAGGUGAAGUCCAAGUGCUCAGCUUUUAAAAACAAAGCCAACUUAUUUGUCCUCUUUCUCUUCCAUAAUUAUACCAUUCAUACUAUUUUGCAAAUUGCUUUAGAAUUGCCUUUGCAUGACUCAUCAUACAACAUGGGAAACAUUUCAGAGAUGGCAAAUGGCGAAAAGACAUCAAAUUCUUGCCCCUGGUGGGGCAUGUGCAUCUCAGGCUCCAUUCUCUAAACUGUGAUUCAUCUUUCCCAUGCCCAAAUUCAGUCUCUUCUAGAAAAUCACUAAUGGGUGCAGCUGCUGGCUUUGAAGAAAUCUUAAGUAAAUAAAACGAAUCAGGCUAUCCAAUAUUCAAUUCACUCAGGUGAGUUUUAGCUCCUGCCUAUGGCAUCAAAACAGACAAUGUUACAGCAUUUGAGGGAACAGGAGAUAAAGAUAUAGAUGCUCUAGGAAAUAGGUCCCUUGGCAUUUCUACUUGAAGUCAGAUUUUUACUGUGUAUUCAGAAUUAUUAAUCCAAGUGGGAACUAGUGGCAAGAUAAGUGAAUAAAUGAGUUUUAUGGAAGUUUUCCAGUUUCAUACAAUACUCCAGUGUAUGCUAAUAAAGUAUUUCUAGGGUGUGCCUCAAGAAACAACCUUUUUUUAAUGAUGAUGAUGAUAGACUUGUGGGAUCCAGAUUAACCUAAAUCAGUCAGUUAUUAGUACUCCAAGGCAUUGAAAAAACAGGGAAUGGUGCGUGUAGCGAGGGGGGAACAGUAAAGAAAUACAUCUUUUAAAAGAAUUUGUGACUGGAUCAAAGUUAUAGGAUGAAGUUGCUGGCAUCAUCACCACACAAGGCCAGAUAAAGAUAUUAUUGUGCCUGAGGCAAAGAGAAAACUAAACAGCUUCUCAACACAGUAAACAGCAUGAUCUGACUUAAGCAGAAUACCUGAAGAACACAAGCUUUGGCACACUCGUGUGUGGGUGUGCAUGUGUGUGUGUGAGUAAAUAGUAAAUACCAGUGAUUUCAGUGCUGACAACUCCCAGAAAACAAGGUAUUAACUUAUUGCAACCUAAAAAUCCCAUAUCAGGGUCCUUCCACACAGCCAUAUAACCAAGAAUAUCAAGGCAGAAAAUCCCACUACAUCUGCUUUGAACUGGUUUAUCUGAGUCCACACUGCCAUGUAUUCCAGUUCAAAGCAGAAAAUGUGAGAUUUUAUUCAGCUGUGUGGAAGGGGGCUCAGUUUAACAGGUAGAGAUAAUAUGUCUAAGGACCUCACUACACGAGGUUUGUGUAGCACACAUUUGAAGCUGCCUAACCACGGACAGAAGCACUUACCAUUGCACAGCAUCAUUCAAAAGUCACUACAAAGCUAUGGUUCAAAGAGUAUUUUUUCCUCAAACUGAGGAAACAUGAUUUUAGCCUGAUUAAAAUAUGUUGAAUUGGUGUUCAAAAUGUUUUUGGUUGUAGGGUAAUCUCACAGUUGUCCUUCAGCUACUUCGGGGGCAGUGACAUAUAAUUGUGAGUGUGUUGUGGGUAUUUCUUUUAUCAAUCUCGUUUCCAUAGCUGUUCUCCAAGCCAAGCAUCUGGUUUUUCCUGGCAAUUCCAAAGUAACCUGGGUUUCUUUUGCCAUGUGGACAGCUAAAUUGAGUGCCUCCCUCCCUUUUCCAUACAAUCAACAUGGAAGGAGAGACCAACCUUUCCUUGUUGAUCCACAUGUCUAGGUGCCUUUUCUGAAAGCAAAAGUGAAGGUGCACCAGGGAAGCUUUCCAUGAAGGCUGAUGAGGAACUGGUGGCAGUAAUUCUGAAAACAGGAUACAAACCGGCAGAGCUAUGUGAUAUUGACCAGACUGGUCUUUGUGGACAAUAAUGUGGCAUCACACAGGAUGCGUGUGGUGCCAUCACGUGGAAUAAUGCUCUGGGUUGGCCCCAGACAUGUCCUCAGUUUGCAGUAGCUGAAGUAAACUAAGUACAAAAGGAGAAAGUGCAGGGAGGAAAAGAGAAUCUGGGACGUUUUAAAAGUGAAGAAGUGAGAUGACAGAAGAUCAAAUCUGACUGUCCCUGCCAAAUCAGGACAAGUGUAAUAUGUACUCAUAAUGUGUCUUCAUUUGUAGAUUUAAGUGUUUGGGAAGUUCACUAUUAUGCAAAUAAGAAAGUAUCCCUCCAAAGAUGGAUAUAUCUGUUUCGUCGAGAGAAAUAGCUUUCUAUGUUUGUAAAGUAAAUGAAAUGGAUAUCAAUAGUAAGGGGGGAAAUGGUUGUCUCAUGUAGAAUUUAGUUUGUAUGUUACUUUCACCAUCCGUGCUGUGUUACAUUUGAAGGGAUGGCUUUUUUCCUUCCAGAUUGAAAGGCUGUCUAAAUACAAUUGCCUUCAGAGUUGGAUUAUGGCUCUGGAGGAAAAGCUUCAGCUCUCUCAUAGAAACCCACUGAGAGAUUUUGGACAAGUAUCACUCUCUUAGCCUCAAGGAAGGCAAUGACAAUCCUCCUCUGAACAAAUCUUGCAAGGAAAACCCUGCAGUGAUAGUGUCACUUUGAGAUUGCCAUAGGUCAGAAAUAAUUUGAAGGCAUCCAACAAGAACAAAUCACAUUCAGUCCUUACCAUCACUUCUGCAUAUCUAGAGUUAGGGACAUAAGGCUUACUUCAGGUCUGUAGGCACUAAAAAAGGCACUAAAAGCUGAUUUACUAUUGCAAUCUUUUGAUUUGAAGCACAGUUGGUAAUCUCUGGAUUGAAAAGCCACCAAGGAAUAUUUCAGUUCUUAUGUGCUAAGAAUCUUGCCCUUAUAAACAUGAGAUUAAAACCUAAUAACAUUAAGGAUAUUAGCAAAGCAGUGAAAGGGGCAGGACGUCACAGGAUAUGUUUUGACUUUGACAGAUUUAAUGUUAUCUCUAGGAAUUUUUAGGUACUUCAGUGUGAUUCUGUGGUCAGCUUCUAAUAGAAGUUGACCAUAGUACCAUGCUGGAAAACCUUGGACCCUUCCACACAGCCAUACAACCCAGAAUAUCAAGGCAAAAAAUCCCAAAAUAUCUGCUUUGAACUGGGUUAUCUGAAUCCAAACUGCCAUAUAUUCCAGUUCAAAGCAGAUAAUGCUGGAUUUUAUUCAGCUGUGUGGAAGGAGCCCUAGAGAUACAUGGAUAAGUGUUUAUUCAUGUUUUAAAAAGGGUUUUUGUUUGUGUGUUUUCCUCAAAUUCCCAGGCACCUAUGUAAAUCAAGUUAGAUCAGAGUUACUUUUACAUUGGAAUCAAUCUCAGUUUGGGCAAGAAAUAAAAGUUGAUAAGAAAGUUUCAACAACAGUGCCAUUUGAAUCUCAUCUGUGAACUACUUCUAAAAUGAAGCAUCUGCAGAAUCACUUGGUAAGCCAACAGGCCUUUUGACAAGACUGCCAUAAUCGAGGAAUUACACAGAGAUUCUCCCAUUCCCUUAUACCCUGCCAGUUAGUUUCAGGACAAAAGUCAGCAGGCAGUCUUAAACUUUCAUACAUUUAAGUGCUAACUGAACUGAUGGGUGACUGUCUUCAGUGGCUAUGCCAAACAUAAUCUGUUUUGGGUGGGUAAAUGUAAGAUUGUCCACUGAUUUGUGGUGCUAAACCAGCUUGUUCUCUUAUACCCUGUCAGUUGUUAGUCUCAGCAUAAAAGUCAGCAGGCAGUCUUAAACUUUGAUACAUUUGCUUUGAUUAACAUAUUCAGUUGAGCAGCUCAGGAAAAAAACCCCAUUGCCUAGGUGGGAGAGCACAUCUGGAAAGCUCUUCUGAGAAUGCACACUGCUGUGCUAUUUUCCCCCUUCAGUGUAAAUAUGUAACAUCAGUUUCUGUAAACAGAUUCAAAAUGGGAAACAUCUGAGAAAUAUAUCCAAGGAUUCUCUGUAAUUAUAUAUACACCAUGUGUUCCUGUUUGGGUUGUAUUUAAGGCCAAUGUCAUCAUAAAUGGAACUGGAUGGGCAAUAAUGUAAGACAUAGUGUGCAUGCACACAGGCACCAUAUGUUGCUAUGUUUCCUAUAUUUCCAGAAUGCUUUGAAAACCCAUGGAAGGGCUAUAUGGUUGAUGAUUUCCUAAACAUCUUAUCAAAGGCAUACCUUCAGCCCUCAAGCCUAGCAUAUUGUUAUCAUUAUUAUUUUUAUUUACUACCCACUUUUCCUAGCAGCUUGAGGUAGCAUACAACAUGAUUUAAAAAAAGAGAUAAUAUACAACACUACUAAAAUACAUAUGACAAGAUAGUAAAGGUAAAGGUUUUUCCCUGACAUCAAGUCCAGUUGUGUCUGACUCUGGGGUGUGGUGCUCAUCUCCAUUUUUAAGCCGGCAUUGUCUGUAAGGUAAUGUGUCCAGCAUGACUGCAUGGAGUGCCAUUACUUUCCUGCCAGAGUGGUACCUAUUGAUCUAUUUGCAUUAUGCAUGUUUUUGAACUGCUAGGAUGGCAGAAGCUGGGGCUAACAGCAUGAGCUCACUCUGCUCCUUGGAUUCGAACCACCGAUCUUUCGAACAGCUAGUUCUGCAGCUCAGUGGUUUAACCCACUGCACCAUCAGAGGAACACAUAUAACCAGAUACAUACAGCUAAAAUGUAGGUUAAAAUUUACUAGUUAAAAAUUGACUGGGUAGGUCUUCCGGAAAAGAUAAGUUUUCAAUUGUGUCUUAAAUUCUGACAGCUAAUUUAGCUGUUAAAUCUCUUCCAGAAGGUCAUUCCACAGUAUUGGGGCAGCUGAUGAAAAGGUCCUCUGGGUGAAGGUGGCCAUUUGAGUUCUGCUGGUUAGAGUAGCUGCCCACCAGAGCACCUUAGUGUCCAAAGUGGCUGAUUGUAUGAGAGAAGGCAAUCCUGUAGGUAACCUGGACCCAAACCACGUAGGGCUUUAAAGGUCAAAACCAACACUUUGUACUUUAGCUGGAAACCAAUUGGCACCUGGUAGAGUGACUUUAAUAUGGGUGUAAUAUGUACAUUCCUAGAUGUUUCCAUAACAUCAUCUUGUGUGGGUUUGUGGCAUGUGGGAACAGAGGGUUGUGAUAAGAAAGUAACUUAGGGGGAAGAGGAGAGACAUGUUUCAUGAUUUAUCUAUAAUCAGGAUUUCUCUCUUUCUUAGACUGAAGUGUGGUGGCGUCACUGCAACACUUGGCUAUGGCUCAAAAGUUAAUCAUAAUGGAAGGCUUAACGUGUUCCUUUAACAUUUAGGAAGCUCACGAAUCUAAUCCAUUCACAUUUACAUUAAAUGGUAAAAUAUUGAACACAUUCAGUUGCUAUUAUGUUAAUCAUUAAAGCUAAUGUUAGAAAUCCUGGGAUACACAUUGAACAUAGUACUAUCAUACUUUGAUUGACAUCACUGGCUGUAAACUUCUUGUGGGAGUAUAAAUUUCCUCCCAAAUCUGGCAUUUCCCACACCAAGAAUCCUGCCUCUGCCUGAGGAUGUUCAUAUUAGUUGUUUAACACAACUGGAAAGUGCUAGAUUGAAGAAUGCUGUCCUGAAGCCAUGAUGUCUAACAAUAUGUAUAAUGAGAUUUUGUCACUGAUCUUGUGAAUAUUUUCUCUUCUUUCUUUUCCCACUCACCCCCAGCAGGAUGCAUGUUGUUUAUGAACCUCUCACAUACCAUAGAUUAAAUAGGCAGAAUUCUAAAAGUUAUUCAAAAUUCUUAAGAACUUCCUUUAAGGAGGGGAUCAUGUAGUGUUCCAGAUAUUGUUAAACUGGUAAUCCCAGCAGGCCAUGGGCCCUUCCACACAGCCAUAUAACCCAGAAUAUCAAGGCAGAAUAACCCACAAUAUCUGCUUUGAACUGGAAUAUCCGAGUCCACACUGCCAGUUCAAAGCAGAUAAUGUGGGGUUUUAUUCAGCUGUGUGGAAGGGGCUCGAGUCAUCACAACUCAUCAUGAGGAAUGCUGGCAGUUGCAGUCCAAUAGCAAGGCUUGAUGCUUUAAAAUAACUUUUUAAAUAACUAGAGUAUGUCAUUUGUUUAAUCAAAAUAGAUAAAAUUCCUGCAUAAUCCAGCAGGGGGACAAAAACUCAUCACAAGUAGCUGAAUUACUCUAGCUAGAACUUUUAAUUCCUCUAUGGUCCACACAAGCUCAGUCAUCAUAUUUCUAUCAUGGAGCCCCCAGAUGGCGUAGUGGACUAAGUGACCUGAAGGUUGGGUUGCUGACCUGAAAACUGCCAGGUUCGAAUCCCACCUGGGGAGAGUGUGGAUGAGCUCCCUCUAUCAGCUCCAGCUCCACACGGGGACGUGAGAGAAGCCUCCCACAAGGAUGGUAAAAACAUCAAAAUAUCCGGACGUCCCCAUGGCAACGUCCUUUCAGACAUUCAAUUCUCUCACUCCAGAAGCGACUCAAGUUGCUCCUGACACGAAAAAAAAAAUUCUAUCAUUGCAAUAACCUUAAUUUUCAGUUGAGCAUUUAGAAAGGGAAAGUUACCAAGCGAUCACAACAAAUACAAGGAAUUCACGGGUUCUGGUUUUGAAUGUUUUCUAUGUUCUAGGUGUGAAUUUUUUCAAUGUCUUAUUCUCUUCAAUGGUAAGAAUUUGAAGACCUGAGAAAAAUGCAUUGGGGACUAGAAUUCUUAUUGGGAGGAAAUGCCCUCAUCCCUCCCAUUAUACCUCUCUCCCCACAGUGCAAUCCACAGCAUUGGAAAGGCUUCUAAGCACACACACAAAAGAUGUUUAGAGCAACUGAGUUAGUUCUGUAUUGGCAUAAAGAGAUGUAGCUUCCAUACCAUUUAUUGCCAUUCCAAUCUUCUAUUUGGAUACAUCGUCCCUCAUAUGGCAAAGAAGAAAAGUAAGGGGUAUGUGCACAGUAAAGUCUGUUUCCUUCUGAGCAGCAUGCAUAGGAUUAUGAAACACAUCCUUGGCCUGAUCAUGAUUGCGACAAUGAAUUCCAAUAAAAUUCUGGGGCAUUUCUUUGUCCUCACAUUUGUCUUCUUUAUUUCAUGGAUAGUAUAGGAAAAAUUAAAUAAUGUCAAUGAUGACAGGGAUAUAAAGAAGAGGGCAGGACCCAUGUUGACUUUUGUGGACUUCAGUUAUACCUGCUGAAAUAUCUUCCUUGACUUUCAAAUAUUAAAUAUACAAAAGUUUUCUCUACUUCAGUUGUACCUGCUGAAAUAUACUUUUUCGUAUAACUCUUAAAGUUACCAAAGACUUGCUCAUUUUUAUUUUUAAUGUAGCUGAAACCUUUUGCAGAGCACAUUCAGCUAUGUGCGUCAGGGAAAAUUGAGAUCAUGAUUGCAAGGGAGACUUUGAGCCUGAUUCCAACACACUAUGUGGCACCAUGCCCGUUUUCGUUCAAGUACAUCACAUCAGAGAAUGUGUUUUUUUUCUUUUUAAAAAAUAAAACCAAUUAACCAACAGCAUAUUGAAUAUAUGGUUUUGGUUGACUGGCAUGGAGCUGGAUGAGAACAAUACCUGAGAGUGGGAGUAAGCGGUCAUCUUGGCUGUCGUCCCUCAUUACUUCACACAGAAAAAAUAAGGGAAAUGUCUGAGCCUUACUCAGAAUAUCAUCCUUGCUCAGUAGCAGUUGGCAGCGCCAAACCAAGAUAUGAGCCAAACACUGUUUUGGGAAAGAAUGAAGACAUGAAAAGUCUCCAGUGUUGCACAAACUGGUGAAUGUCUGAAUGACAGAUCAGGGCUGGAUCCCCCAAUAUUAAGAGAGAUCUUAAUAUAUCUCUGUCUACAUUGAAAUUGAAACUGAAUCCAGGCAAGACAGUGGUCCUCCUGGUCAGUCACAAGGCUGAACAGGGUAUAGGGUUACACAACCUGUGUUGGAUGGAGUUACAUUCCCCCUGAAGACAUAGGAUGGCAGUUUGAGGGUUCUCCUGGACUCAUCGCUGAGCCUGGAACCCCAGGUUUUGGCAAUGGCCAGGGGAGCUUUCGCACAAUUAAAACAUGUGCGCCAGUUGUGCCCAUACCUUGGGAUGUCUGCCUUCACCAGGGUGGUCCACGCUCUUGUUACAUACUUUAUAGAUUACUGCAAUGUGCUCUACAUGGGGCUGCCUUUGAAGACUGUUCAGAAGCUUCAAUUAGUUCAACGGGUGGCAACAAGAUUGCUCACCAGAGUGGUGUACAGGGAGCACACAAGUCCCCUGUUGUGCCAGCUCCACUGGCUGCCAGUCUGCUACCAAGCAGAAUUCAAAGUUCUGGCUUUAGCCUAUAAAGCCCUAAAUGGUUCCGGCUCAGCUUAUCUGUCUGAACAUAUCUUCCCAUAUGAACCACUUCAAAGAUUAAGAUCAUCUGGGGAGGCCCUGCUCUUGGUCCCACCUGCUUCGCAAGUGCAACUGGCGGGGACAAGAGACAGGGCCUUCUCGGUGGUGGCCCCUCAGCUGUGGAACUCCCUCCCUCACAACAUUAGAUCAGCCCCUUCCCUCCUAACAUUCAGAGGGAAAGUAAAAACCUGGCUCUGGGAUAAGGCUUUCAGAGAAUAGCGUAGUGCAAUAAUAGAUUUGGAAUACGUGCUAUGACUACGGAACGGCCUUAGACUACAAUUUCUGGAUGGCGUGACUUCAAUAUUGAAUAUAAUGUUUUAAAUGUUUAAUAUGUAUUAAUUUUAAUUCAAUUUAUUUUAAGCUUAUGUUUUGUAUGUGUUUUUAAGGCAUUGAGCAAUUACCAUAUGUAAGCUGCCUUGAGUCCCUUUCGGGGAAGAAAAAGGCGGGAUAUAAAUAGGGUAAAUAAAUAAAUGAAUACAUCCAUAGCAGCCAGCAUCUUCUGAAUGAGCCAAGAGUAAAUAUCCAUAUCCUUCCUAAGGAAUUUAUUUCUGUGGAUCUUUCAUCUGUUUUUAAUUUUCUGUAUUUUUGUGUGCUGGCUUUUGGAACACAUCCUUAGUAAAUACAGAAAGUCAGAAAUCUGGUGCAGAAUAUAACAUGAGUAUUAUGUUUGACCUAUUCGUAAUUCAUAAAUGUAAAUGCAUCAGUGCACAAAUUCCCCACUCCCUUCCUGAGUGCAAUGCUUCUGGAAAUACAUACCGUAUAAUUACUGUUGAGCAAAAUUGAAAAGCCAUUCAUUAAAGCCUUGCAAAAGAUGUUAGGUUUUUCUUGCAGCAACAUCUUUCUUAGUUGUGGAUUUUUAUUUUUUUAUUUUUUACAGUGUCAGAUGCACAUCCGUUCCCCCUCCCAACUUGUCUUUCAGAGUUUUAUGUUGGUGAUUCAAAAAGGGUAGCUGUAUUUUAAUGGCAGAUAAAAUCCAUCUGAGCACAACAAUUGCCUGCCAUAUCUGUCUCACAUCUCUGCUGCAUCAGACAGUGUUAAAAUGAGUGCAAUCUUGCAUUUGCUCCAGUUAAGACACCAUAAAAAAGAAAAUGCUCUUUUCUGAUAUUUGUCAUAGACCUUAUUUUUGUUCCCUCCAAUCUUGUGAAUAGCUCCAUUGCUGAAUAUGUGAAUUGGAUAGACUUGAUGCUGAGCAAGUGAAGAAUCACAGCCUGUCAUUCUGCCCUUGUUUUGGCAGCCAACCCAGAAAGACACACCCGUGGUGCUCUAUAAAGCAGUGUCCCUGCACCGCUAGCAACCAUGUUCACCAAGUCUGCUUGCAGUCAAACUGGAGUAGUAGGCUUGAACGAUCCAUGAAAAAAAAUGAUUCUAAACUCGUUUCAAAAGUAGGGGGCGCUAGCGUUUCGUUUCUGAUGUCAUUUCCACAUUUUGCCCUCAAAACUUUUUGAAAUUUAAGGAAAAUUCGUUAGUUUCAAAAGUAAUUCGUUAAUGGCAGACGCACAUGCGCAGUGGCCCAAAACAGCCCGGGAGGGGGCUUUUACGGGGCUCUCCUGCACUCAUUUUUUCAGCUAUCCUGAUCAAAUUUGGUACAGUGCUAGAACACAAUCCACACUGCUUGCUCACCAAACUGCAGAGCGUUUGCCCUUUCCGCAGAUUUAUUGCGCAAUUUCAUAGUUUAUAUAAAAAAUCUUUAUUUAACAAUUGCAAAAAUCUGUUCCUGCUUUUAAAUUGUUAUUUCCUGUUCAAUGGGGUUUCCUUCACUGUGAACCUCCUUCUACUUGUGUAAUAUUGCUUCUGUAGAUUAUGGGUGGUGCUGCACUGUUUGCCUGACUUUACAAGCGUUGAUAGGAGUAAGGUACCCAGCCAAACUACACCAACGUGCAGGAAAAGAAAAGGGAAAAGUAUCCCCCCCCCCAAUUUUUGUACAAAGUUCUAUUUCUGUGGAUUAUGGGUGCUGCUGCACUGUUUGCCUGACUUUACAAGCGUUGAUAGGAGAAAGAUACUACCCAAACCGCACUAAUGUGCACUGCAGGAAAAUAAAAGGCAGAAAUACAGCCUCCCUUUUUGAACAAGUUCUAUUUCUGUGGAUUAUGGGUUCUGCUGCACCGUUUGCCUGACUUUACAAGCGUUGAUAGGAGUAAGAUACCAGCCAAACUGCACUAACGUGCAGGAAAAUAAAAGGGAAAAGUAUCCCCCCGCUUUUUGUACAAGUUCUAUUUCUGUGGAUUAUGGGUGCUGCUGCACCGUUUGCCUGACUUUACAAGCGUUGAUAGGAGUAAGAUACCAGCCAAACUGCACUAACGUGCAGGAAAAUAAAAGGGAAAAGUACCCCCCCCCUUGUUGUACAAGUUCUAUUUCUGUGGAUUAUGGGUGCUGCUGCACCGUUUGCCUGACUUUACAAGCAUUGAUAGGAGAAAGAUACCAGCCAAACCGCACUAAUGUGCACUGCAGGAAAAUAAAAGGCAGAAAUACAGCCUCCCUUUUUGAACAAGUUCUAUUUCUGUGGAUUAUGGGUGCUGCUGUACCGUUUGCCUGACUUUACAAGUGUUGAUAGGAGUAAGAUACCAGCCAAAGUGCAGUGCAAUAAAAUAAAAAGGAAAAAUACAGCCUUCCUUUUGUCCAAGUUGUAUUUGUGUGGAUUAUGGGAGUUGCAAUGAAAAGAUUCCUAAUACCCCCCCCCCCCCCAAAAAAAGCUGCUAAAUUAGUAAUCCUUUUGCCACCAGCAGAAAAAUUGCAGUGGGUGGGAAAAUGGCAAACUCCAAGCUGGUGGAGAAAAAAGCCCACACACAGGCCCUUUUUAAAAACACCCUCCUUCCUCCAGAAAAACCCACCCUUCUUUCCCUCCUCACCCACCCUUCCCCCCCCCCCCCCGGUCUUCUUUGGAUCAAGCUUAGCUCAGCCAAGGAAGCUGUGAUGCAGCACUGAAAUCUUGCUGGAAUCUCAGUCUAAGCCUAGCCUUCCAACCACCCUCUCUCUCCAGAUCCCCGGAGUGAAUGAGCCACGAGGCUCCCUGCAGUCUCUUUUGAUUCAGCACAUACAAGCCCCUCCCCUGAGUUAAACGUGCUCUCCGAUUGGCUACAAGGGGGAAACAACAAGCUAGGCUGCCCCAGUGCACUGAAACAAGUUUGGGUGAUUUGCAAAUGCAUGUUUUUCUAACGAAAAAAAACGACAUCAGAAAAAUUGCCUAUCGCGGUUCAAAACCGUGGGAUACACAACAACGGGAUAAUGCGAUUCUAAUAUCACUUCAAAAGUGACAAAACAAACAAAUUACUAACGACAAACGGGGAAAUCGAAUUAUUUGAGCAACUCUAUGGAGUAGUAAUGAACAAAGUAGUCGCCUAUGUUUCAGUUUGUAAAAUAUGUGUUUUUGUAUUUUAACCAGUAUGUGAGUAUAAGAAGCUUUUGGAGAAAAUAAGGAAUCCCUUUUUUGAACAAUGAAAAGGUAGUUUGGGGAGAUUGGAGGGUUUGAGGGCCACCAAAACAGACUCAAAGUCACAGGUGUCCAUCCUUGCCAUAGAGAUCCUAUCUGGUAUGCCUAAUAUUUGUAGUAACUCUUUACAGUGGUACUGCUAUGGGGAAUAGCAUGUAAAGAAAGAGUCUUCCUGCUUGUUGAGGGCACUUACCAGUGCAUGGAUGUCUGGGUAAGCUUCUUUGACAGUGUUUGCAUAUUUUGCCAUAGAUAUAUGCCAGAAAUUACACCUGAAAGAUGCUUUGAGGAACAAAGAAUAAGGCACUGCCUUAUUAACCUUUAUACCCUCUGUCUCUGCAAUAGAAAACCAGCAAUAGUACUGCUGCCAACAUUUGUUCUCCUUCUUCUCUAAUGACAGUACCAUCUGGUAUGUUCCUUUGCAAUAUUAUUAUGUAAUGGGGACCCAUUAUGGGGUAAAUACGUUAGGAGUAGCCUGGUGAUCAUUUUUGUAUAAAAUGUAUAGCCAUCUGGUAAGCCGCCUCGAGCCCUAGGGGAGUGGCGGCAUAUAAGUUUGAAAAAUAAAUAAAUAAUCUAGGACCGUAUCUGAACUCUCAAGAAAAUGUCAGUUUAAAGGGCUCCUGAAUUGCUCCAGUGCAGCCCUGGAAGCCCUUUCUCUGUUCAAAUGAUUGCUAGGUUUGAGGGUAUAUCAGGACCCCUGCCACCUUGCCACCAGCAGGCAGCUCUCUCCAAAGGUGAGCUUGCUGGCAGCAUCACAUUUCUGGUCAUUUUGCUCAGCAGACAAUAUGAGAUUGUCAGAAAUGUGAUUCUGUCAGUUCUCUUCUGGAAGAGAACUGCUUGCUGGUAGCAAGGCAGUGUUGGGACUGUUAGUGGUGUGGAUGCAAGAUCACUCCUCAGCUAUCUGGAAACUUAGAGUAACCCCUUGGGGUGGGUAAACAACUCGUUGCAAUGAGUUUACUGUGCAUCUGAUCCAUGUGUUGUGUGGACUCACUGCAGCAACUGAAUGAUGAGUCAACAAUGUGUAGAUAUGGAUCCAGUUUCCUUAGAGCAAUGGUUCUCAGUCUGUGGGUCCCCAGGUGUUUUGACCUACAACUCCCAAAAAUUCUAGCCAGUUUACCAGCUGUUAGAAUUUCUGGAAGUUUAAGUCCAAAACAUCUGGGGAUCCACAGGCUGAGAACCAAUGCCUUAGAAACAUCUAUUGGAGAAAGAUGACAAAAUCACAAGUGUCUACAUAAAACACCUGCAUUACCUCACUACUCCAUAGCUGCAUGGUUGGGAGAGAUCUGAUGAACACAUAUGGCCCCUUGUAAAUGGAGUUUUACAAAACACUUUUGUUUGUACAGUAGUCAAUUCCCACUGAAGACUCAACAGAUGCCUCAGUUCACUGAAAGCAUAAUCCUGCUUAACUGGAGCUUUGCAUGUGCUCCAGAGCCCCCAAGUGUGCACUGCUGUGGCCAGAUCAAUGUGAGGCCAUCUAAAUGUGACUGCAGUUGUAGGAAUGAUUCCCUGAUGGAAUCUAAAUCAGUUUCUCUCUCUUUUUAAAAACACGUAUCAAUGAGUUCGGAACAAGUCACCUAUAAAAAUGUCACCUUAUACACACAUACAAACACAUACAUCCUGAACCAACUGUUGUUCCUAACAUUAAUUCCACCAUCAGCUCAUUUUAUACUAAAGUGUUAAGUUAAUGCUUACACCCAGUGCAAACAGAAAGAAGGGUCAUUUCAUUCAACCACAGGUUUGUGCAGUGUCGCUGAAAUCAAUGCAACCACACCAGCCUAGGUUGCCUCUUAAUUACCUCCAAGAGAAUGUAUUUUUCUUCCUCUUUUCCCCCUCCUCCAACUAAAGUAUUUGCAAAUCCUGGAGUACUGCUGACAUUCCGUGUGUUCCUCCUACUGUGAUAUGUUCUCCUGACUACACUGACACCUGCUGAGGCUGUAUUGGAUUGUUAUUUUUACAGCAGCCUUUUCUUGAAUUAAUUACAUAUCUGGAAUCAAGGAACCAUGUCUGCUGUUUAUGAGCAACAUCUCAGAUACAACUGUGAACAAAUGAAUUAGUGCCAAUUAAUUUCUGGCAGUAUUACUGAAGAUGGAGGGAAUGCAAGGUAGCCAGGGCAGCAACCCUCUCCCCCACCCCCCUUCAGUUCUUCGGUAGAUUAUCCCCGAAGUUUUGUAAAAGAGCCUGCAACCAAAAUAUAAUGUCUAUGACGAGUAAAGAAAGGUUAUUUGAAAUCCAACCUUCUGAUGGAGCUUUUUGGUUCUGCAUGUACCAAGCCAUGGGAAAAAGGAAGUUUCUUUCUUUGUGCUAAAUGACUGACACAAACAUUUUUCUGACUGAAAUGGAUCGAGAAAUUCCUUCCAAGACCUUCAAACCCAAAUCUAUGUAUUUUCUAAAGCUAGAGUUAGCAAAUAUGGGUGUUAAAGUUGACACACUGACAUUCAUUCCAAAAUUAAUUUGUUAGUAAUAAAUGAAUUUGUGAUUACAAUAAAUUAAUAUGUUAUUCUAAUGUUAAUGGUCCAUACCUAUUAAAUUUGUUUAGGAAAAAAAACACUUAAAGUAAGCAAUCAUUUCAUUUAUUUGUCAUCUGCUUUCUUCUCAAAAUUGAGCCUCAAAGUAGCUCAUAAAAAUGAGCAGGCACAGUUAUAUUCAUAUAUAGCUAUCAAAGAAGUAGUGGUUUUAGUUCUUGCAGCAUAAAAAGGAAGAAAGAAGGGGAGACAAAAAAGAAAUGUGGCAGCACCUUUAAGGUUAACUGGUUUUUAGUUUCACGAGAGCUUUUGUGGAUAUAAACUCAUUGAUUCAGUUGCAGUAAUGAGCGGCAUGUGAAGAAGUGGGUUUAUGGAAGCACGUGGGAAAAUAAACUCUUAAAAUGCCAUCACGUUUCUACACCCUCCCCCUUUACACCCUCCCCCUUUACCCCUAUCAUCUUUCUUUUUACAUAUAUGGCUAAAAACAGGCAAAAAUUAUUUUUACAAUAUAACUAAACUAGCUACAGAUUUUAAAACCUUUGAUAGCAUACCAUUGCAAGGCAAUUACAGUAAGGUAAUGAAAACCCUUUUCUUCUAAAACACUAAAGGUGUAUCUACAACGUAGAGUUUGACACCACUUUAACUGCUAUGGCUCAAUUUUAUGGGAAUUGUUGUCUUAGAAAGUCUUCUCUGCCAAAUACUGCUGGUGCAUCACCUAACUACAACUCUCAUGAUUCCAUAGCAUUGAACAUUUGCAGCUAGAGCACACAGAGGCCUCAACAGCACCACCGAAAAGAGCCAGAAAGACCAAUAGCCAGGAGCUUGGAAGGAGGAGGCAACGUUCGCUUGUUGUGGGCUGCCUCUGACCUCAGCUCCUGGUGCAGCCUGAAGAUUUGGACAGGAUCCUUGGAGAGGACUUUUCAAGCGGAUUUGCAGUGCUUUGUUUCCGCUAUUGCUUCAUGGACAGACUUUGAUUUCUAAAGGAAACUAUCGAGCUUCACUUGUGGAUUACAAAUUGGACAUUGAUAAACUCUUUCUGAAUUGCAAUAGACUAUAUAUGAUGGACUAUUUCUUACUCUGACUUUCCACCUUAAAUGUGCAUAGAUAUAUAUAUAUUCUGCUUCAAUAAAUGGCUUGUGUGUUA